rnacentral:rRNA from 1 species
GGAACCUGCCUUGGAGAGGGGGAUAACACUCCGAAAGGAGUGCUAAUACCGCAUGAUGCAGUUGGGUCGCAUGGCUCUGACUGCCAAAGAUUUAUCGCUCUGAGAUGGCCUCGCGUCUGAUUAGCUAGUAGGCGGGGUAACGGCCCACCUAGGCGACGAUCAGUAGCCGGACUGAGAGGUUGACCGGCCACAUUGGGACUGAGACACGGCCCAG